rnacentral:rRNA from 1 species
AACGAACGCUGGCGGCAGGCUUAACACAUGCAAGUCGAGCGCCCCGCAAGGGGAGCGGCAGACGGGUGAGUAACGCGUGGGAAUCUACCCAUCUCUACGGAAUAACGCAUGGAAACGUGUGCUAAUACCGUAUACGACCUUCGGGAGAAAGAUUUAUCGGAGAUGGAUGAGCCCGCGUUGGAUUAGCUAGUUGGAGGGGUAAAGGCCUGCCAAGGCGACGAUCCAUAGCUGGGCUGAGAGGAUGAUCAGCAACACUGGGACUGAGACACGGCCCAGAAUCCUACGGGAGGCAGCAGUGGGGAAUAUUGGACAAUGGGCGCAAGCCUGAUCCAGCCAUGCCGCGUGAGUGAUGAAGGCCCUAGGGUUGUAAAGCUCUUUCACCGGUGAAGAUAAUGACGGUAACCGGAGAAGAAGCCCCGGCUAACUUCGUGCCAGCAGCCGCGGUAAUAC